rnacentral:rRNA from 1 species
UACGAAGGGGGCUAGCGUUGCUCGGAAUCACUGGGCGUAAAGGGUGCGUAGGCGGGUUUUUAAGUCAGGGGUGAAAUCCUGGAGCUCAACUCCAGAACUGCCUUUGAUACUGAAGAUCUUGAGUUCGGGAGAGGUGAGUGGAACUGCGAGUGUAGAGGUGAAAUUCGUAGAUAUUCGCAAGAACACCAGUGGCGAAGGCGGCUCACUGGCCCGAUACUGACGCUGUGGCACGAAAGCGUGGGGAGCAAACAGG